UUUCACAGUCUGAAUUUGUUCAUACUUACACAUGUAUGGCUUAAUCUUUGAGACAAGCAUAUGACUACUUGCAGGAUCAACCAGGUAGCAUUCCUCAUUGACGCCGGCGUCGCAUGAGCGUAGCCGACCCAAAAGGGCACGGCCAAGUCCAAGGCGAGCACGAAUUUAAUGAGUCAUUCGCAGUUUCACAGUCUGAAUUUGUUCAUACUUACACAUGUAUGGCUUAAUCUUUGAGACAAGCAUAUGACUACUUGCAGGAUUAACCGUAAGGAGCAUUCUUUGGGCAGAUAGAAGCCAAUGAAGGCCCCGUGGCCAUAGCGUUUACCGAAUCCGAGAGCCCGAGCAUGCUAGGUCGUGGACCAAGCCAUCGCAAGGCGAAGCCAAGACGACAUGGGACACAACUGCAGCUUUUAGUUCACCCCGCACGUUGAACGCGAGGGGCGAAAGGCGAUCGAUUUUGCAUGAUAAUGCCUUGGCAUUAGGUAUGCAACACAUAAAAUCGACGUUGAACAAGUCUAAUUUGCGCUUGUGACAUGACUUAGAUGGCAUGUGAGCUAGGAAGUCGCUGCUCGAGCAGGGAUCCAACCUAGCCACACAAUCCGAGGACCACUCAUGUGUCGCACGUACACUUGCCUAGCCGAUACACAGCCAACACAAGCCCCAACUCGUGACGCACAGCCAUGUGUUGUUGUGGAUGCCAGCAUCGCAAAGCCAAGACAAGCCCCACAAAGCAUGAAUAGGGGGUUUGAACAACGCCAGACACAACCCACAACAACCGAUGGCAAUAGGCAAUUUAAUGAGCUUCGCCCCAUGCGCAUGGCACUUUGCGGCGCUACUUGCAUGAUACUUUGCCAUUCCAUUGAGAAAAGCCAUCAGCCGCCACGAGCAAUGUCGCCUCCCGAUGUUUCCCGCAACAACCGAUGGCAAUCGGCAACUUACUACGCUUCGGCCCGUGCGCACAGCACCUUGCAGCGCUAAAUGCAUGAUGUUUUGCCAUUUUUUUGCCAAAAGCCAUCAGUCGCCUCGAGCGAUGUCGCCUCCCGAUGUUGCCCGCAACAACCGAUGGCAAAUAGCAACUUACUAAGCUUCGCCCCGUGCGCACGGCACCUUGCGGCACUACUUGCACGAUGCUUUGCCAUUUUGUUGCCAAAAUCCAUCAGCUGCAAUGAGAGAUGUCGCCUCCCGAUGUUCCGCGCAACAACCAAUGGAAAUGAACAUCUACUGAGCUUCGCCCCGUGCGCACGGCUCCUUGCGGCACUACUUACACGAUGCUCCGCCGUUCGUUGUCAAAAGCCAUAAGCCACCACUGAGGAGGGGGGGGGGGUUUACAGACUCAACCCACAACAAUCGAUGGAAAUAGGUAACAUACAAAGUUUCGCCCCAUGCGCACGGCACCUUGCGAAGCUACUUGCAAGACGCUCCGCUGUUCCAUUGCCAAAAGCCAUCAACCGCCAUGAGCGAUGUUUGCCCGCAACAACCGAUGGAAAUCGAUAUCUACUGAGCUUCGCCCCAUGCGCACGGCACCUUGCGGUGCUACUUGCACAACACUCCGCCGUUCAUUGUCGAAAGCCAUCAGCCUCCACGAGAGAUUCCAGACACAACCCACAACAACCGAUGGCAAUCAACAAAAACUUACUAAGAUUUGCCCCAUGCGCACGGCACCUUGCAGCGCUACUCGCACGACGCUUUGCCGUUCAGUUGUCAAAGGCCAUAAGCCUCCACGAGCAAUGUCGCCUCCCGAUUUUGCCCGUAACAUCCAAUGGCGAUUACCAAGUACGAAGCUUCGCCCCAUGCGUACGGCACCUCGCGGCGCUACUUGCAUGAAGCUCCACCAUUCAUUGCCAAAUGCCAAUGUUUGCCACGAGCGGUGCCACCACCAGGCGUACUACAAGCCUACACGAGUACUUGCCGGCGCGGUUUGGGAACAUCGAGGACGUAGCACGGACAAGCCGUUCAUGGCCCCAAUGCCCACGCCCCUUGCCAGUGUCCCCCAUGCAUGCCCGCCCCUUCCUAGAAGCAAGCACCUGAGGUGCCUCUCAACACCUCUACCCCCCUUAUUCAUGCUUAGAAAAACCCAAGUUUCAGGAGUAGACAUGUUUUGGCCAGAGAAUCUAGACAUGUACAACACCAAAUAGCACAAACCAAAGUACAACUUGGCUAAUAUAUUCACAAAUGACUUUUACGCAUUCUAAAUGUUAAUUUUUACAAAAAAUAAUUUUUUUUGAAAUAUUUUUGUUAAAAAACGAAAAAUACUUAAUAAAAUACUAAAAAACUAUGAAAAUUAUUAAUAAAAAUAGAAAAAACGAUGGAGAAGAAUUCCAAUACAUCUUGUAAUAGUAUAACAUAUAAAAGAGUAGAUAUUCUUAUUAUUACAUAAAAAUAAUUUGAAAUAACAAAAAAUGCGUAAAAAUUACUAAAUAAUAUAUUAAAAAUAGGAAAAAUACAUAACAUUCAUAUAAAAGCGCAUAGAUGACCAACUGCCAAUAAGCACGAGGCACCUCCAUUGUCGCAACCACAACAAGUGUUUCUGAUUUGAAAAACCCGCUACCAACCACAAAGCAUCGACCAACCGUCGUUGGUGGAUAAUUGCGAACCACCACGAAUUUCCACAACCGCCACCAACGGCCACCAACAUCUUUGCGCUUGACAUGUUGCCGAACGACAACGAGUGAUACAGAUCCGAAGCAACCGCCGCCAACCACCAAGCGUCGACCGACCGUCACCGGACGAACCGCUCGAACCACCAUGACUUUCCACCACCGCCGCCAACGACCACCAGCAUCAUUGCGCUUGGCUUGUUUCAUAGAAAUGGUUAGCAAUAGACGUGGUGCGAUGCAGUGCGUCUUCGAGCAACAUGGUGCGACGUCGUGCCCUGGCCAUUUCCUGACGUGUCCUGACACGUACCAUGGCCUUGUCCUAAGACGUCCUGACUUGUUCCAUGGCCACGCCCUGCCAUGUCCAGCGGUCCUGACUCGUGCCAUGGCCAUGCCCUGCCAUAUAUUGAAGCGUCCUAACUCGUGCCAUGGCGACGCCCUGCCAUGUCCUGACGCGUCUUGAUGCGUCACGACUCGUGCCAUGGUCACGCACUACCAUGUCCUCCGACCUCCCAACUCGUGUCAUGGUAACGCGUCCUGACACGUGCCAUGGCCAUGUCCCGAUGCGUCCUGACACGUGCCAUGGGCAUGUCCUGCGACGUCCUCACUAGUACCAUGGCCACGCCCUUCCAUGUCCUGCGACGUCCUGACUCAUGCCAUGGCCAUGCCCUGCCAUGUCUUGACGCGUCAUGACACGAGCCAUGUCUUGACGCAUCCGGAUACGUCCAGACUCGUGCCAUCGCCACGACCUACCAUGUCCUACGACCUCCCCACUCGUGUCAUGGCAACGCACUGCCAUGUCCUGACGCAUCCUGACACAUUCCAUGGCUAUGUCCUGAUGCGUCCUGACACGUGCCAUGGCCAUGUCCUGACGCGUCCUGAUGCGUCCCGACNNNNNNNNNNNNNNNNNNNNNNNNNNNNNNNNNNNNNNNNNNNNNNNNNNNNNNNNNNNNNNNNNNNNNNNNNNNNNNNNNNNNNNNNNNNNNNNNNNNNNNNNNNNNNNNNNNNNNNNNNNNNNNNNNNNNNNNNNNNNNNNNNNNNNNNNNNNNNNNNNNNNNNNNNNNNNNNNNNNNNNNNNCCAUGGCCACGCCCUGCCAUGUCUUGCGACAUCCUGACUCGUGCCAUGGCCACGCCCUGCCAUAUCCUGAUGCGUCCUGACUCGUGCCAUGGCCACGCCCUGCCAUAUCCUGACAAUCCUUACUAUGUCUGGACGUGGCUAGUUUCCCCGUGUGGAGUAAAAUUAAUCUGCAGGCUCCACUCUUGGUGGUGCCCUUCCGUCAAUUCCUUUAAGUUUCACCCUUGCGACCAUGCUCCCCCCGGAACCCAUAAACUUUGAUUUCUCAUAAGGUGCCGGCGGAGUCCUAAGAGCAACAUCCGCCGAUCCCUGGUUGGCAUCGUUUAUGGUUAAGACUAGGACGGUAUCUGAUCGUCUUCGAGCCCCCAACUUUUGUUCUUGAUUAAUGAAAAUAUCCUUGGCAAAUGCUUUCGCAGUAUUUCGUCUUUCAUAAAUCCAAGAAUUUCACCUCUGACUAUGAAAUACGAAUGCCCCCGACUAUCCCUGUUAAUCACUACUCCAAUCCCGAAGGCCAACGUAAUAGGACCGAAAUCCUAUAAUUGUUAUACCAUUCUAAUAUAUACAGAGCGUAGGCUUGCUUUGAGCACUCUAAUUUCUUCAACAUGUUAAUCAUUACUCCAAUCCCGAAGGCCAACGUAAUAGGACAGAAAUCCUAUAAUGUUAUCCCAUGCUAAUGUUUACAAAGCGUAGGCUUGCUUUAAGCACUCUAAUUUCUUCAAAGUAAUAGCGCCGGAGGCACGACCCAGCCAAUUAAGGCCAGGAGCGCAUCGCCGGUAGAAGGGACAAGACGACCGGCGUACACCAAAGGUGGACCGACCGGUGUACACCAAAGGUGGACCGGCCGGCCCAUCCCAAAGUCCAACUACGAGCUUUUUAACUGCAACAACUUAAAUUUACGCUAUUGGAGCUGGAAUUACCGCGGCUGCUGGCACCAGACUUGCUCUCCAAUGGAUCCUCGUUAAGGGAUUUAGAUUGUACUCAUUCCAAUUACCAGACUCAUAAAAACAAGACUUGCCCUCAAAUGGAUCCUCAUUAGGAGAUUUAGAUUGUACUCAUUCCAAUUACCAGACUCAUAAAGCCCGGUAUUGUCACUACCUCCCAAUGUCAGGAUUGGGUAAUUUGCGCGCCUGCUACCUUCCUUGGAUGUGGUAGCCGUUUCUCAGGCUCCCUCUCCGGAAUCGAACCCUAAUUCUCCGUCACCCGUCACCACCAUGGUAGGACACUAUUACUACGGUUAUCCGAGUCAUAGAUAGCAUCAAACAAACUAUAACUGAUUUAAUGAGCCAUUCACAGUUUCACAGUCUGAAUUUGUUCAUACUUACACAUGCAUGGCUUAAUCUUUGAGACAAGCAUAUGACUACUGGCAGGAUCGACCAGGUAGAAUUCCUCAUUGACUCCGGCGUCGCAUGAGCGUGGGAGACCCAAUAGGGCACGGCCAAGUCCAAGGCGAGCACGACCGUCAUUGUAAGGAGCAUUCUUUGGGCAGAUAGAAGCCAAUGAAGGCCCCGUGCCCAUUGCAUUUACCGAAUCUGAGAGCCCGAGCAUGCUAAGUCGUGGACCAAGCCAUCGCAAGGCGAAGUCAGGACGACCUGGGACAUAACUGCAGCUUUUGGUUCACCCCGCGCAUCAAACGUGAGGUGCGAAAGGCGACCGGUUGUGCUUGAUAAUGCCUUGGCAUUAGGUAUGCAACACAGAAAACGGACAUCGAACAAGCCUAAUUUGCGCUUGUGACAUGACUGAGAUGGCACGCGAGCUAGGACGUUACUGCUCGGCAGGGAUCCAACCUAGCCACACAAGUCGAACACCACUCAUGUGCCGCACGUACACUUGCCUCACCGACACAAAGCCAACACCAGCCCAACACGUGAUGCGCAGCCAUGUGUUGUUGCCGAUGCCAACAUUGCAAAGCCAAGACAAGCCUCGCAAAGCACGAAUAGGAGGUUUGAACAAUGCCAGACACAACCCACAACAACCGAUGGCAAUAGGCAACUUACUGAGCUUCGCGCACAAAUAGGGAGUUUGAACAAUGCCAAACACAACCCACAACAACCGAUGGCAAUCGUCAACUUACUAAGCUUCGCCUCGUGCACACGGCACCUUGCAAUGCUACUUGCAUGAUGCUUUGCCGUUCCAUUGCAAAAAUCCAUAAGCCACCACGAGAUAUAUCGCCUUCCGAUGUUUCCCGCAACAACCAAUGGCAAUAAGCAACUUACUAAGCUUCGCCCCGUGCGCACGGCACCUUACGGCGCUACUUGCGCGAUGCUUUGCCAUUUUGUUGCCAAAAGCCAUCAGCUGCCACGAGCGAUGUUGCCUCCCGAUGUUUUCCGCAACAACCGAUGACAAUCCGCAACUUACUAAGCUUCGCCCUGUGUUCACGGCACCUUGCGGCGCUACUUGCACGAUGCUUUGCCAUUUUGUUGCCAAAAGCCAUCAGCCGCCACGAGCGAUGUCGCCUCCCAAUGUUGCCCGCAACAACCGAUGGCAAUAAGCAGUUUACUAAGCUUCACACCGUGCGCACGGCACCUUGCAGUUCUACUUGCAUGAUGCUUUGCCAUUUUGUUUCCAAAAGCCAUCAGCUGCCACGAGCGAUGUCGCCUCCCGAUGUUUCCCGCAACAACCAAUGGCAAUGAACAUCUACUGAGCUUCGCCCCGUGUGCACGGCACCUUGCGGCGCUACUUGCACGAUGCAUUGCCAUUUUUUUGCCAAAAGCCAUUAGCCGCCACGAGCGAUGUCGCUUCCCGAUGUUUCCCGCAACAACCAAUGGCAAUGAACAUCUCCUGAGCUUCGCCCCGUGCGCACGACACCUUGUGCUACUUCCACGAUGCUUUGCCAUUUUGUUGCCAAAAGCCAUCAGCAGCCAGAGCGAUGUCGCCUCCCGAUGUUUCCCGCAACAACCAAUGGCAAUGAACAUCUACUGAGCUUCGCCCCGUGUGCACGGCACCUUGCGACGCUACUUGCACGAUGCUCCGCCGUUCGUUGUCAAAAGCUAUAGGCCGCCAUGGAGACACAACCCACAACAAUCGAUGGCAAAAAGAAACUUACUAAGCUUUGCCCCAUGCGCACGGCACCUUGCGGCGCUACUUGCACGAUGCUCCACCGUUUGUUGUCAAAAGAAAUAAGCCACCACGAAGGGCGGUUUAAAGACAAAACCCACAACAAUCGAUGGCAAUAGGCAACUUACUAAGCUUCGCCUCAUGCGCACGGCACAUUGCGGCGCUACUUGCACGACGCUCCGCCGUUCCAUUGCCGAAUGCCAUCAACCGCCAUGAGAGAUGUUGCCCACAACAACCGAUGGCAAUCGACAUCUACUGAGCAUCGCCCCACGCGCACGGCACCUUGCGGCGCUACUUGCACGACGCUCCGAUGUUCGUUGUCGAAAGCUAUCAACCGCCACGAGAGAUUCCAGACACAACCCCUAACAACCGAUGGCAAUCAACAACAACUUACUAAGCUUUGCCCCAUGCGCACGGCACCUUGCGGCGCUACUUGCACGACGCUUUGCAGUUCUGUUGGAAAAAGCCAUCAGCUGGCAUGAGCGAUGUCGCCUCCCGAUUAUGCCCGCAACAUCCAAUGGCGAUCAACAAGUACUAAGCUUCGCCCCAUGCGUACGGCACCUUGCGGUGCUACUUGCAUGACACUCCACUGUACAUUGCCAAAUGCCAAUGUUUGCCACGAGCGGUGCCACCACCAGGCAUACUACGAGCCCACACGAGUACUUGCCGGCGCGGUUUGGGAACAUCGACGACGUAGCACGGACAAGUCGUGCAUGCCCCCAAUGCCCACGCCCCAUGCCAGCGUCCCUCGCGCAGUUUGGGAACAUCUAGGACGUAGCACGGACAAGUCGUGCAUGCCCUCAAUGCCCACGCCCCAUGCCAGCGUCUCCCAUGCAUGCCCGCCCCUUCCUGACAACAACCACCUGAGGUGCGUCUUAACACCUCUACCCCCCUUAUAUAUACUUUAAAAAUAAAACCCAAGUUUCAGGAGUAGACAUGUUUUGGCCUAAGAAUCAUAAUACACAUGUACAACACCAAAUAGCACAAACAAAAGUACAACUUGGCUAAUAUAUUCACAAAUGACUUCUAAACAUUGUAAAUGAUAUUUUUACAAAAAAUAAUAUUUUUUUUGAAAUAUUUUUAUUUAAAAACGAAAAAUACUUAAUAAAAUACUAAAAAAUAUGAAAAUUAUUAUAAAAAUAGAAAAAAUGAAGGAGAAAGAUUUCAAUGCAACUUGUAAUAGUAUAACAUAUAAAAGAGUAAAUAUUUUUAUUAAAAAGUGACAUAAAAAUAAUUUAAAAUGACAAAAAAUGCAUAAAAAUUACUAAAACAUAUAUUAAAAAUAGGAAAAAUACAUAAUAUUAUUAUAAAAGCGUGUAGAUGACAUGGAUUUAUGGGGCUAAACUUUAAAAAAAAUGCUCUCGACGCAUUUUAGCUUAGAAAAAGAACAGUAGCUCUUACUGGCGCACGAUAGCAAGAUCACAAUCGUCGUCGGAAUAUGGCUCGUUGCCGGCGUAACCCUCCACCUACUACUACUCAACUCGUCACACCUGAGAAUGGCACAAUCCAGGAACUUGAACCAUUAACUUUUGGUAACUUUCUGCCUCAGAAGCUUCAUUCUCCAAUAGCGAUGCAUGCAGAGGUAGAUACUUGUAAAUCACCCACUUUUGGUAACUUUCUGCCUCAGAAGUUUCAUUCUCCAAUAGUGAUGCAUGCAGAGGUAGAUACUUGUAAAUCACCAGUGAAGAAGACUGAAGUAGCUUCAGAAAUUGCACCAAGGCGUUUACAUCUCACUAAUCUCAUAGUUGGGGAGAAAUCAAGUCCGACUGCUGCGGAUGUGGUGCGAGGAAAUCGCAAUACUCAGAUGGGCAAACAUCUCUCGUUUGUUCCCCCUACUGUGCGAGAUGGUAAAAAGUUGUUNNNNNNNNNNNNNNNNNNNNNNNNNNNNNNNNNNNNNNNNNNNNNNNNNNNNNNNNNNNNNNNNNNNNNNNNNNNNNNNNNNNNNNNNNNNNNNNNNGGAUUAUUGGCAAAAUGCGUUGAUUGGUUUCAUAAUUGGAGAUCGACCUAGUGAGCAGAAUAUGGAGAAUUUUGUUAUUCAUGUAUGGAAUUUUGUCACAAACCUCAGGUACUGAUUCAUGCUGAAGGCUACUGUAUUUUUAGAUUUAAUAGUGCUAAGGACAGGGAUUCAGUCAGGUCCCUAUACUUUUAGGAAUAGGCCAAUGGUGUUGAGGCCAUGGGAAGUUGAUUUCAAUNNNNNNNNNNNNNNNNNNNNNNNNNNNNNNNNNNNNNNNNNNNNNNNNNNNNNNNNNNNNNNNNNNNNNNNNNNNNNNNNNNNNNNNNNNNNNNNNNNNNNNNNNNNNNNNNNNNNNNNNNNNNNNNNNNNNNNNNNNNNNNNNNNNNNNNNNNNNNNNNNNNNNNNNNNNNNNNNNNNNNNNNNNNNNNNNNNNNNNNNNNNNNNNNNNNNNNNNNNNNNNNNNNNNNNNNNNNNNNNNNNNNNNNNNNNNNNNNNNNNNNNNNNNNNNNNNNNNNNNNNNNGUGCAGGUAGUUCAGGAUUCAAACAUGGUUAAUGAGGGUCAAGCAACUAGUCCCUUGCAACAAAAUGAACUUAUGAAUCCAGAAGGGCAAUUAAGUGAAGUAACUAUUGCUAUCACCAGUAAUAGUGAACAGGUGGUUGACACUGGUAAUAGAGGGAAAGCUAUCAUAAAUGAUAUGGAUAGCAGGGUGCAACAGUUUGAUCCGGGACCCUCUUACAGCUUAACUCCUACUGAACCAUGAUUGUAGCCACAUGGAACAUUAGGGGGCUUAACCAGCCUCAUAAGCAGAAGGAGUUGAAACAAUUCCUUACUGUUAAUAAAGUGGAUGUAAUAGGAAUUCUUGAAACCAGAGUUAAGGAACAUAAAGUCAAGAAGAUAUUUGAUAAGGUUGCAAAGGGUUGGAUGUUACAAUGUAAUUAUGCAAAGGCUGUUAAUGGGAGAAUAUGGCUAUUAUGGAAGACUCAUUUACAGGUUCAAAUAGCAAAUUCCUCUGAUCAGUUUAUUCAGUGUCUGAUAGAGAAUACAAGACGUCUAGCCAGGUUUCAAUUCAGUGUAAUAUAUGCACAAAAUACUGCACUGCUUGGGACACAACUAUGGAGGGAUCUCAAAUCAAUUCCUAUUCCCCAACAAGAUGCAUGGCUUAUUUGUGGUGAAUUUAAUUGUGUUCUAAGUUCUGAGGACAGAAUUGGUUCUCCAGUAACUUUUUUUUUAUUAUUUAUUUAAAUACCUAGGCAAUGCCUAGGUUAAAGUUUAUUCAUACCAGAAAAUAAAAUUACAGAAUAGAAAUAAACAAGAGGUGCCAGAUAACAAUAUGAUCAUCCCAGAGUUUAUAACUACUCUGUGAUGAUGUUACAAUUGGGGAAAUUAAGACAGUUGAUAAACUUAUAAAAAAUCGUUGGAUGUCAUUGUAAUUCAUGCUUUUUUAUUAGUUAUUUGUGCCAACUGUUUUUGGUUUUGCGACUCUCAUUGGGGGUCGUCUUAUGCUUGCUUCCUCUAUUACCCUGCCGUCCCAGCUUCUAUCUCUUUGACGAAUUUUCUUAUUUGUUUUGCUAUGCAUUGUGGAUAAAUCGCCUAUUCUUGAAACAUCUUUACGGCAUUGCAUUAACAUCUCUUCUUCCUCCCCCUCUUCAAAUGUUAUAUCCAUAUCAUUCUGGAGAUGUCUUUUGUCUGAAGAGAUUUGCAUAGCAGAUGAUUCAUAUUUGUUUCCACCUGCAAAUGAAUUAGAUUUUGGAAUGUAAGCUAUGGCAUUAUGAGUCAAUAAUCUACUUAAACUUGCCGCGGAUGGAUUUUUUGCAUUCCAAAGCACAAUUGCAAAUUUUCUUUGAGAUUCAAAAUUCUUCUCUUGAGCUAUCGUAACCAUCUUCUUGAUCUUCCUCUGCUGAUGAAUAACCUGUAGAGCCUUCAUCCUAACUAUCUUCAUCAUUAAAUUGUCGUUGGUCCCAGAGUUUCGAUUUAAUAACCAUCUCCCUCAUGUUAGCUAAAACUAGCUUUUUGUUCUCUUCAUUGACUAUUGAAAUAUCUUCAUGAUCGUUGCUCUCUAUAUAAGUGUAUGGAACUGGCGAAUAACUUUUGACUACCUGUAACUUCCCUCCAACGACCAUUCCCAAUGACUUGGAUCGUGGAAUUAGGGCUGUAUUUUCCUCUGCGAUCUGCUUGCUUUAUUUCAAACCAGAAACUGGACUAUUUCCUUUUUGUUGCUGAGAUGCCUCAUUGACAGGCAUACCAACUUUGACGACCAUAUCUUUUGGGAGAUCCUGUUCAAUUCUUUCUACAGAUAUCCAGUUUGAAAUCAAAUUUCCAAAUUGUGCAUUACCCGAUCCUUGGUUUUGCAUGUUGUUGUUUUGCUGCAUUCCUUCAAUAUCCUUCAGCUGCCCAUCCUUUGUGUUCUGCAGUUGAACUGGAAUAUCACUGUGAUUUGUAGCAUGGAUAGCAUUGUGAUGGGUAUCCUCAUUAGAUGCAACAAGCUCAGUUACAAUAGGACUAAUCUCAGCCACAAUUGGAAUUCAACUAGGAGAGUUCACUUUGGAUGCAAGAAGAUUAACACUUUUACAUGAUUGUGCAGUGUUAUCAUUAACUUUUAUGGCUCUCUUACCAGAAAUGCCUUUUACAUCAGUGACUGCAACCAAUUUACCCAUUUCUAUAUUCUGCUGUGCAAAGGGAUUUUUGACACCUGAUAUUGAACCUAUUUCAUAUGUAUUGUUUGCUACUGAGAGUUGAUAAUCCAUCAUACAGGUCGAUUUCAACGAAACAGUGUUCUUGUUCUGUUUAGCACUAUCAGAGGCAUCGUUAAUUGUUGGACAUAUUUCAUUAGCUGCAACUGUCAUCUCCAGAACAGUGGGAUCAACUUCAUUUACAUUGAUCCUAGAGAUGUAAGAAUUUUGAUCCACAAUAUCCAUAUCAUCUGCAUAGCUUCUUACUGGAUUGUGCUGGUCAAGGACUCCGUCAUCAAGAUCCUUGGCUUGACGACCUUUUUGAGUACUGGAUUUUGCAUCCACUGAAGGAAUUUUUGACUGUUUCCUGGAUGGUAACACACACGACUUCUGUUGCCUGUUAGCAUUUCUUUCUGAUAUAUCAUUUGCAACAUACUCCUUCUUUUUUGAUUGAGCAGAUACAUUUGGCUGAAUUUUUGGAUUAGUCUGUAGAGAACCUUGACUUGAUCCUGUAGGGACUGAAACAACACAGAAGUUUGCAGGGGUUAACCUCUCGGCUGAUUGAAUAGGAUUAACCUCGGCUGUCAGUUUACUUCCUGUUUUAUCUAAUGAAUCAACAUAUGCAUUCGAAAUUGACAUUCCAUUAGGAAGUGCCAAUUCAUCUGUUUGCAGGGGUUAACCUCUCGGCUGAUUCAAUAGGAUUAACCUCGGCUGUCAGUUCACUUCCUGUUUUAUCUAAUGAAUCAACAUAUGCAUUCGAAAUUGACAUUCCAUUAGGAAGUGCCAAUUCAUCAGCUGAUUUUACAGCAGUUCCUGGAACCUGCUCUAUUGAAGCUACUGAAUUCUAUCCAGGGAUAUGGUCUAUCAACACUUCAGUGAACUCUGCAUAUGCAUAAACCAAUUGAUCACAAUUGAUCAGACCUACAUUUUGCUGAAUUUAUAUACCUUCAUCCGCACUGUUUUGUUGAAUUACUGCAGGUGUAACUGCCAGAGGCAGUUCUGAUAGAGCAGUCGAAUUCUGCUGUACAUUAACUGGAUAUGAAUCUUUAUGAAACUGGACAGAUUCUGCAAUCUUAUCAGUUGCAUCAUCGGCAUUCUUUUUGGCAACAUCUUUAUUUCUAGAUAAUUGAAUCACUUCGCCUCUUCGUUCUGCUUUAAUCUCAUUCAUAUUUCUCUGGCAUCGCGCCCUGAAUUUGGCAUACUGCCCUUGCUUUCAGAGACGUUAGAAGUAACUGUUUUGUCAUUAUGAUCUUCUGAUAUCCAUCGACACAAUUUUUUCUCAUGACCUUGAUGAAGACAGUAAGUGCAAUAUUUUGGAAGGUUGUCAAAUACGAUCUUCUAGUCAUAUUCGACCAGAUUUCCAGAAUUCAUAUCGACAACCUUAAUCUUGACUUUCUUUGGAUGUUUGUCUAUCAAGUUGACCAAUACUUUAACUCAUGUCGUAAUAGGACGUGUGCGUUCAUGUGUGGCCUUAUCCACGGCAAGAGGUUUCCCAACAGCAGAUGCAAUUGACAUCAGUGACUUCCUUGCAAAAAGAUUUGCUGGUAGAUCUGGAAAAGAAAUCCAAACUACCGCUUUUGACAUUUCUUCACGGGGAUUGAAUCCCAUAGUCCAAUGGAAUGUCCUAAUGAAUAAAUCAUCUCCUUUGUAACGGACAUAUCCAGAUGUUCAAGAUACGACCUUAACAAAAUCUUCGAAUAAGUCGAAUCUUAAAAAAAUAUGAUGAUGUUCUAGCUGUCCGAUGUUACAUUUUUCGUUGACAUCAAAGAGUCUCGGCAUCAUCUGUCUCAGUUCAUGAAUCGCUGGUUUGCCAUACAAAAAUUUGAUUAUAACCGCUUGAUGAAGCCCUUCCUCUCUCGUGAAUGAAUUGACUUCGUCAACAGUGAAUUCUACAGUAGGAGUCCCAUUUCUAACCAAAACUGGACUGAGUUCCAGUUUUGUAUCUGUCUCGGCAGAUUGUUUUCCAACGAAUAAUCCUGCAUAACUUGGUUUGAUCCUGCUAACUAACCUUUUCUCCGAUGAAUUUUGCAAAUCCUCUCCCACAGCACAUAGCUGGGGAGAGUCUGUAGAUUCCAUCGAUGCGAGAUCAGUCAGCCGCAAUCCAUCAUGAUCAUUGUGUGGAUUAUUUGAGGGAAUUGGAUUGAUCAUAAAUUGACGCUACAGUAACUCGCAAAUCUUAGAUUUAAGAUGUAGGACGAUUGGUAUUGAAUUAAAAGAAAAUUUCAAUUAGGAUGUGAUCCGAAAGAUAAGGAGAUCAACUGAUGCUAAUAUUGCGACCAACCUCCUGCAAAUUCCAGCUAUUCUCGCGAUGAACAGUAGCGCGAUGUACUGUUCACGCAAGGUACUGUUCACGAUUCUACCCUUCUUCUUCAAAACCCAGACUUCUUUCUCCAGUAACUGAAGCUGAAGUUAAGGAGUUUAAAGAUACUGUAUCUGAAUUACAACUCACUGCACUUAGAGUUAAAGGCUGUCAUUUCACUUGGACAAACAAACAAGAUGCAGCUCAUAGAGUAUACAGUAAAAUUGAUUGGGCACUGGGAAAUUAUCAAUGGUUGCAGCAGUAUGGGCAUCUGGAAGCUGAUUAUUUGAAUCCUUCUGUAUCUGAUCAUUCUCCUAUCCUGAUCAAAUUUGGAGAUCACAAACUUUUACAUCCUAGACCAUUCAGACUUUACAAUGCUGUAUUGGAACAUCCUCAAUUCCAUAUCAUUGUUCAACAAGUCUGGAGGCAAAACUAUAUAGGCGCACCUAUGCAAUUGAUCUGGCAAAAACUGAGGGAAAUGAAGAAGCAGUUAAAGGCCUAAAUGCGCAUGUAACAAGUUACAAACAGAAAAGUUGUGCAGUCAAGGGAAGCUCUAGAUAUUAUUCAAUGUCAGCUGCAGAAUCAUCCAUUCAGUCAGGAAUUAAUUACUGAGGAGAAAACAGCAAUUGAAGAACUUGAGAAAUGGAAUUGUAUAGAAGAGCAAAUAAUGAGAUUAUUCAAUGUCAGCUGCAGAAUCAUCCAUUCAGUCAGGAAUUAAUUACUGAGGAGAAAAUAGCAAUUGAACAACUUGAGAAAUGGAAUUGUAUGGAAGAGCAAAUAAUGAGACAGAAGUCAAAAGCAUGCUGGAUUGAAUGUGGAGAGUGUCCUUGCUGCCACGAUCUACUGAAAUUCAGCCCUUUGUCAAUCCGAUUCGUCCCUCCCGAUCCAAUCCAAUCAUUUUCUAACUUUUCCGAUACGAGGUUCACUCCUACCUUGUUGAUAUAUUAUACUAAGUGUUGGAAAAAUCGAACAAGUCCUUAAGACCUUGGAACGUAUACUAUUUGUGCAAUAAGUGGACAAUGUGACUUGACACUUAGUCACGUCGAGGGAAAUACCAAACCACGUUACACUAUUAGAGGCUUUUCGGGGUGUCGCUUGAGAGGCCAUGGUAUGAGUUAGGACGUCCCAGGAACUGGCAGGGUGUGGCCAUUGCACAGGCCAGGACUUGUCAGUAUGUCGCAGGACAUGGCAGGACAUGGGUCGGGGUGUGUCAGGACGUUGCAUGACAUGGUAGGCCGUGGCUUGGCACGAGUCAGGACAUGGCCAUGGCACGUGUCAGGACGCAUCAGGACAUGGCAGUGGCAUGAGUCGGGACGUCGCAGGAUAUGGCAGGACAUGUCCAUGGUACGUGUCAGGACACAUCAAGACGUGGCCAUGGCACGCGUCAGGACGUGGCAGGGCGUGGCCAUGGCACGAGUUGGGACGUCGCAAGACAUGGCAGGGCGUAGCCAUGGUACGAGUCGGGACGUCGCAGGACAUGGCAGGGCGUGGCCAUGGCAGGAUAUGGCAGGACAUGUCAGGGCGUGGCCAUGGCACGAGUCGGGACGCGCAAGACAUGGCAGGAUAUGGCAGGGCGUGGCCAUGGCACGAGUCGAGACGUCGCAGGACGGCAGGACGUAGCAGGAUAUGGCAGGAUAUUGCAGCAUAUGGCAGGGCGUGGCCAUGGCUCGAGUCGGCACAUCGCAGGACAUGGCAAGACGUGGCCAUGGAACGAGUAGGGACGUCGCACGACAUGGCAGGACAUGGCAGGAUAUGCCAGGAUAUGGCAAGGCCUGUCCAUGGCACGAGUCGGGACGUCGCAGGACAUGGAGGAUAUAGCAGGGCGUGGCCAUGGCACGAAUCGGGAUGUCGCAUGACAUGGCAGGACAUGGCAGGAUAUGGCAGGAUAUGGACAUGGUACGUGUCGGGACAUGGCAGGGCGUUGACAUGGCAGGGCGUGGCCAUGGCACGAGUCAGGACGUCACAGGACAUGGCAGGGCGUGGCCAUGGCACAAGUCAGGAUGUCCCAACACGCGUCAGGAAAUAGCCAUGGCACGUGUCAGGACAUGGCAGGGCGUGGCCUUGGCAUGAGUCGGGACGUCGCAAGACAUGGCAGGACGUGUCCAUGGUAUGUGUCAAGACACAUUAAGACGUGGCCAUGGCAUGUGUCAGUACGCGUCAGGACAUGGCCAUGGUACGUGUCAGGACGUCGCAGGACAUGGCAGGAUAUGGUCACGGUACGUGUCAGGACGUGUCAGGACAUGGCCAUGGUACGUGUCAGGACGUGGCCAUGGCACGACAUCGCACUAGCAGGAUAUGGUCACGGUACGUGUCAGGACGUGUCACGACAUGGCCAUUGUACGUGUCAGGACGUGUCAGGACAUAGCCAUGGUACGUGUCAGGACAUGGCCAUGGCACGACAUCGCACCACGUCACUCCAAGCCGCACCACGUCGCACCACGUCUAUUGCUAACCAAUGAUGUUGGUGGUCGUUGGCGGCGGUGGUGGAAAGUCGGGGUGGUUCGAGCGGUACCGUCGUGCGACAGUCGGUCGACGCUUGGUGGUUGGUGGCGGUCUCUUCAAAUCCUAUUCACUUGUUGUGGUUGGGCAACAUGUCAAGCACAAUGAUUUUGGUGGUCGUUGGUGGCGCUGGUGGAUAGUCUCGUUGGCUCGAGCGGUAUCCACCGGCAACGGUUGGUCGAUGCUUUGUGGUUGGCGGCGGUUAUUUCAAAUCGAAUCACUUGUUGUGGUUGCGACAACGGAGGUGCCUCGUGCUUAUUGGCGGUUGGUCAUCUACACGCUUUUAUAAUAAUAUUAUGUAUUUUUCCUAUUUUUAAUAUAUGUUUUAGUAAUUUUUAUGCAUUUUUUGUUAUUUUAAAUUAUUCUUAUCUCACUUUUUAAUAAAAAUAUUUACUCUUUUAUAUAUUGCACUAUUACAAGUUGCAUUGAAAUUUUUCUCUAUCAUUUUUUCUAUUUUUAUUAUAAUUUUCAUAUUUUUUAUUAUUUUAUUAAGUAUUUUUCGCUUUAAAUAAAAAAUUUUCAAAAACAAAUUAUUUUUUGUAAAAAAUAUCAUUUACAAUGUUUAAUAGUCAUUUGUGAAUAUAUUAGCCAUGUUUUACUUUGGUUUGUGCUAUUUGGUGUUGUACAUGUCUAUUAUGAUUCUCUAGGCCAAAACAUGUCUACUCCUGAAACUUGGGUUUUUUUAUUAAAGUAUAUAUAAGAGGGGUAGAGGUGUUGAGAGGCACCUCAGGUGCUUGCUGCCAGGAAGGGGCGGGCAUGCAUGGGGGACGCUGGCAUGGGGCGUGGGCAUUGGGGGCAUGCNNNNNNNNNNNNNNNNNNNNNNNNNNNNNNNNNNNNNNNNNNNNNNNNNNNNNNNNNNNNNNNNNNNNNNNNNNNNNNNNNNNNNNNNNNNNNNNNNNNNNNGAGAGACCGUGGGCAUUGGGGGCAUGCACGACUUGUCCGUGCUACGUCCUCUAUGUACCCAAACCGCGCAGUUGUUGUGGGUUGUGUCUGGAUUCUCUCGUGGCGGUUGAUGGCUAUCGACAACGAACGGCGAAGCGUCGUGCAAGUAGCGCCGCAAGGUGCCGUGCGCAUGGGGCGAAGCUCAGUAGAUGUCAAUUGCCAUCGGUUGUUGCGGGCAACAUCGCUAAUGGCGGUUGAUGGCAUUCGGCAAUGGAACGGCGGAGCGUCGUGCAAGUAGCGCCGCAAGGUGCCGUGCGCAUGGGGCGAAGCUUAGUAAGUUGCCUAUUGCCAUUGAUUGUUGUGGGUUGUGUCUGUAAACCCCCCUCUGUGGCGCCUUAUGGCUUUUGACAACGAACAGCGGAGCAUCGUGCAUGGUCAUUGCCGCAAGGUGCCGUGCUUACAGGGCGAAGCUC
rnacentral:lncRNA from 1 species